GCGAGAGAGCGGCGCCCGUCUCGAUCCUUCCGCCCGCCCUUAUCUCUUUCUUUUUUCCAAGCGCUAUUUUUUCUCUUCCUCUCUACUCUCGGUCUUCUCUCCUCGCUUGCCUGUAUCUCCUCUCCACCGCUGAGCCAUCUCCACGGCCGGCGACGCCCUCCCUUUCCGCCGCUCCCCCUCCCCCCACCGGCGGCACCCCUCCCUCUCCGCCCCCUUCAUCCUCAGCCACGGCCCACGGCGGCAAGCAGCGCCCUCGCUCGGUGGCGGCACCCUCUCUCUGCAGGCGGCGCCCUCCCCCCAGCCGGCGGCGCCCUCUCCUCGGCGGCAUCAUUGUCUUCUCUGGCACAGUGGAGGCAACCCCUUCCCUGCCUCGGCGACAACAUCCUCCUUGCGGCGUACGGUGGGGCGCUCGCCAAGCCGCCACGACCUCGGGGCAGCGGCGUGCUUGCCUCUGAUGUGAGCAGUGGCGCCGGUUUUUUAGUUUUCUGUGAUGAUUUUGAUUCAUUGUUGUUGAAUUUAUGA
rnacentral:lncRNA from 1 species